rnacentral:rRNA from 1 species
AGAGGCCUCAAGCGUUGUUCGGAAUCACUGGGCGUAAAGCGAGUGUAGGUGGCUUUGAAGGUCAGAUGUGAAAGCCCUGGGCUUAACCCGGGAAGUGCGUCUGAUACUUCAUAGCUAGAGUGCGGGAGAGGAAAGUGGAAUUUCUAGUGUAGGGGUGAAAUCCGUAGAUAUUAGAAGGAAUACCAAUGGCGAAGGCAACUUUCUGGCCCGUAACUGACACUCAGAUUCGAAAGCAUGGGUAGCAAACAGGAUUAGAUACCCUGGUAGUCCAUGCCCUAAACGAUGGGUGCUUGUCGUUGGAAGUGUUAACCCUUUCAGUGACGGAGCUAACGCGUUAAGCACCCCGCCUGGGAAGUACGGUCGCAAG